GACGAACGCUGGCGGCGUGCUCAACACAUGCAAGUCGAACGAUGAAGAAGAGCUUGCUCUUCGGAUUAGUGGCGAACGGGUGAGUAACACGUGACUAACCUGCCCCUUUCUCUGGGAUAACGCUCCGAAAGGAGUGCUAGUACCGGAUACUCACAUCGAGGCACAUGCCUUGAUGUGGAAAGUUUUUCGGAAAGGGAUGGAGUCGCGGCCUAUCAGCUUGUUGGUGAGGUAACGGCUCACCAAGGCGACGACGGGUAGCCGGCCUGAGAGGGCGACCGGCCACACUGGGACUGAGACACGGCCCAGACUCCUACGGGAGGCAGCAGUGGGGAAUAUUGCACAAUGGGCGAAAGCCUGAUGCAGCGACGCCGCGUGAGGGAUGAAGGUCUUCGGAUUGUAAACCUCUUUCAGUAGGGACGAAGCGAAAGUGACGGUACCUAAAGAAGAAGCACCGGCUAACUACGUGCCAGCCGCCGCCGUAA
rnacentral:rRNA from 1 species